CAACAACAUAUUCGAUACGCUAUACGUUUCGUACGCGGUGCGUAAGCGAAAAUCACGAAGAAAAAAAAAGUACAAAAAAAAAUAAUAAAAUAGUGGCGCGAGCAGGAUCGAUCCCAGAACUUGGCGCACACAAUACGGGUGCCUAAACCACUACACUACGAAGGAUUAGCUUGAAAUUCAAAUAAAUUUACGCUGUUUUAUUUUUAACGACUUUAACGAUAUGGAAAUG